CACAUCCUCAUGGGUAGUAGUCAGUUUCCUAACCCUCUGAGCCACAGUGUCAACUCCCAGGCCAUUUUUUGGAAAAGGGUCCCAGGGCAUGCAGAGCAUGGAGGCAACCUUCCCCAGCAGUAGUUUAUUUUCUGGCACCCCAGCUCUGCUUCCAAAGCCAGAAAUAUCAGGGAUGCCAGGCCCAGCUUCCCAAAGGCUGAAGGUCAUUCUGCCCCUAGGGAGAGUCUGCAGGAGGUCAAGUCUGCUAGACGGCCAGUCACCCUGGAGGCCUGUGAUCCCCUGCCUAGGCUUGGAUGUCCUGCUGGGCCCCCUGGUGAAGAGGAAAUGCAGCUGUCUUUCUCCUGCAGACCUGGAGGUACAUCUAUGUCCAGGGCUUCCUAUCUAUGAAAUCCUGUCCUGUCACCUCAUAAAAGAUGCUCCUGCUAGAGGGAGAGCGAAAGGCGGCCAGGGAGGGAGGUGACUCCUCCUCCUUGGGGCACCAGCUCUGGAAACGUAGCCUCGGUGAUGGCUGCCCAUCAGGGCCAGAUAAUAGAAUGCAAACCCCAAUGGGGUUUUCUGGGAACUGUUUUAACAGUGGACUUUUUUGUUUUUAGAACUGCACCCUUCAUGAUUAGAGCCCCAGAAGAAUUCGCCUGUGGGUUUUUGAGCAUCUAUAGCUGUCCUUUGGUUGCUGUGUCAUAACAGUCAACAAUACAAAGCAACAUUGUAAUCAUAACGCUCCCCUAUCUUGUCUAUAAACUGUUUCCACUUCUAGCAGAUGGGUUUUGUUUUUUGGUUUUUGGGGUUUUUUUGUUUUUGCCAUGCCCAUAGCAUAUGGAAAUUCCUGGGCCAGGAACUGAACUUGUGCCACAGCAGGACCCAAGCCUCUGCAGUGACAACACUGAUCCUUAACCCACUGAGCCACCAGGGGACCCCUCUAGCAGGUAUUUAUACACUUUCUUUCCUUCGAUGUAUUCCUUGCCAAAAUUCCAUGAGAAAGGAAGUGUAAUACUUAUGCUUUAAUUAUAAUAAUACCUAUACUUACACGUUCAUCAUAAUUAUUAUAAUCAACAAUAAAGUAAAUUUUAUUUUAAUAAAUAAAACAUGUAUUAAACUUUUUCAACAUGCCAGGUUUUGUGCUCAUCAUCUUUUAACUAACGUCUCAUUCGUUUCCUCCAUGAGCCCUAUAAAGUCCUAUUUUAUCCCCAUUUCACAGGUGAGUAAAUAGAAACCCAGGAUUCCAGCCCAGAUCCACUGUCCCCAGAGCCUGUGAGCAUCCCCACUGCAUCUUCUCACUCAUCCCCUAUGGGGGGAGGCAAGGGCCAGGGGACUGAGGAACCCCCCUGAAUACAGGCCGCUAUAUUGGCCAAGCUCCAGGAUGCAAACCCUCCUGGCUUUCCUGGCGGGUCAGAAAUCGGGGUCUGACUUCCCACUGCCUCCCUGCCAGUUAGUGGUGACUCCCUUCAGCACAGAUGAAAUCAUCAGGAGGACUUCUGAAGCUGCACUGACGGCUCUGGAUUAGCCACUCCAGCUAUCAGAUUGACACUUUGGGAGCGCAAAUAAAAUAGGCAGCAAGUAGAGUUCCCAUAUCCUCCCCAGCCCCAGUUUCCCCUGUCGUGAACACCUUGGCAUUAGUGUGGCACAUUGGUUAUAAUUGAUGAGCCAAUUUUCACACUUUAUUUUUAAUUAAAGUCUGUAUACUGAUUCUCUUCUUGGUUCUCGUAGAAGGUGUUGUACCUUCUAUGGUUUGGACAAAGGUUCAAUGAGACGUGUCCAUGGCUACCGUACCAUACAGAGGGGUUACACUGCCCCCCAAAUCCCAUCUUCUCACUAUCCUCCCCUCUCCUCCAGUUCCUCACCCCUCUCCUCUUGCCCCAGUUGCUGGCAGCCACUGAUCUUUUUAUAGUCUCCAUAGUUUCACCUUUUCUAGAAUGUCAGGUAUAGCAGUUGGAAUUAUACAACAUGGAACCUUUUUUAGGUUGGCGUCUGUCACUUAGUAAUACCCAUUUAAGUUUCCUUCCUGUCUUUUUGUGGUUGACUAGCUCAUCUCGUUUAUUGCUGAAUACAAUUCUGUUGCUUGGAGGCACCACAGUGGAUCCAUUCACCUACAGCAGGAUAUCCUGGUUGUUUCCAGCUUUGGACAAUUAUGAAGAAAGCUGCUAUCAGCAUCUGUGUGCAGGUUUUUGUAUGAAAGUUAAGUUUUCAAGGAGAACAAUUGCUGGAUUGUAUGGAGUUGGAUGUAUACAAUGUUGAAUCCACUGGGACGAACCUGUCUUCUCUUUAGGAAAACACCCCUCGAUGAAAAUAAUAGUGGAUCUGAAAA